GCCCUAUGGUGGAGGAUAACCCCGGGAAACUGGGGAUAAUACUCCAUAAGUCAGGAGUACUGGAAUGUCUCCUAACUGAAAGUUGCGGCGCCAUAGGAUGAAUCUGCGGCCGAUUAGGUAGUUGUUGGGGUAACGGCCCAACAAGCCUGUAAUCGGUACGGGUUGUGGGAGCAAGAGCCCGGAGAUGGAAUCUGAGACACGAUUCCAGGCCCUACGGGGCGCAUUUUUUUCGAAUAUUUUACAAUGCAGGAAACUGUGAUAAGGGAACCCCGAGUGCCCGUAAACGCGGGCUGUCCCGGUGUUUAAAACACAUCGGAAGAAAGGGCCGGGCAAGACCGGUGCCAGCCGCCGCGGUAAUACCGGCGGCUCGAGUGGUGACCACUUUUAUUGGGCUUAAAGCGUUCGUAGCUUGAUUUUUAAGUCUCUUGGGAAAUCUCACGGCUUAACUGUGACGCGUCUAUAGAUACUGGG
rnacentral:rRNA from 1 species